CCUACGGGAGGCAGCAGUGGGGAAUAUUGUGCAAUGGGCGCAAGCCUGAUGCAGCCUGCCGCGUGUGUGAAGAAGGCUUUCGGGUUGUAAAGCACUUUCAUCAGUGAGGAAAGGUUAGUAGUUAAUACCUGCUAGCUGUGACGUUAACUGAAGAAGAAGCACCGGCUAACUCCGUGCCAGCAGCCGCGGUAAU
rnacentral:rRNA from 1 species